rnacentral:lncRNA from 1 species
ACCUGAGCACCUGCACCACGGGAGAGGCUUGGGUGACACUUGGGCACCUGCACCCAACGCAGGUAGCAGUGAUCACAGUGAAAACAUUUUGUUAGCAGUCGUCUGCUUCCUGUCCUGGCAUGACCAGCAACGGGUAAAGGGCACUCUUGUCAGCUGAGGGGACGAGUGGGGCUCUGCCCAGCUGGUUGGAGACUCCAGCAGGUUUGCAGGAGGAGAUGGAAGAGCAAGGAGUGGAGGCAAAAACUGCUGCCAAGAUCCUGUGGGAAAACAGGAACCCAAAGAAGGAACUCCAAUGGGAAACUAAUAUAGACAACAAUGAUCUUAAAGUGUUUGCUCCUUAGAGACUGUUGAAAAGAACUCCCACGAGUGAACAAAAGACACCUGGCCGAGGACACUCCAGAGUGCUGUCACGAGGGUUCCCUGCAGUUUUCAGAAACUUGGAGCAUGUGGCCACAGUGGCUUGCACGUGAUUCACACGGCACAUCUUGUCACCACGUAAAUGUUUAUCAGCAGAGACAAAGACCAGAAGAGCAACCUUGGAAAGAGCUAAAUAUUCCGAUGUUCCCAGCAUUUUCCCCUCUGGUUUGUAUUCUGAAUUUUUAAAAUCUUGAUUGACAAGU